UGGGGAAUAUUGGACAAUGGGCGAAAGCCUGAUCCAGCCAUGCCGCGUGAGUGACGAAGGCCUUAGGGUUGUAAAACUCUUUCGUCGGGGACGAUAAUGACGGUACCCGAAGAAGAAGCUCCGGCUAACUUCGUGCCAGCAGCCGCGGUAAUACGAAGGGAGCUAGCGUUGUUCGGAAUCACUGGGCGUAAAGCGCACGUAGGCGGAUAGUUAAGUCAGGGGUGAAAUCCUGGGGCUCAACCCCAGAACUGCCUUUGAUACUGGCUGUCUCGAGGUCGAGAGAGGUUGGUGGAAUUCCUAGUGUAGAGGUGAAAUUCGUAGAUAUUAGGAAGAACACCAGUGGCGAAGGCGGCCAACUGGCUCGAUACUGACGCUGAGGUGCGAAAGCGUGGGGAGCAAACAGGAUUAGAUACCCGAGAGUCCCUGAGCGGGCUGGCAAGGCGCAU
rnacentral:rRNA from 1 species